CGUACACUCCUGCGGGAGGCAGCAGUGGGGAAUAUUGCACAAUGGGCGCAAGCCUGAUGCAGCCAUGCCGCGUGUAUGAAGAAGGCCUUCGGGUUGUAAAGUACUUUCGGCGGGGAGGAAGGCGAUAAGGUUAAUAACCUUGUUGACUGACGUUACCCGCAGAAGAAGCACCGGCUAACUCCGUGCCAGCAGCCGCGGUAAUACGGAGGGUGCAAGCGUUAAUCGGAAUUACUGGGCGUAAAGCGCACGCAGGCGGUCUGUCAAGUCGGAUGUGAAAUCCCCGGGCUCAACCUGGGAACUGCAUUCGAAACUGGCAGGCUAGAGUCUUGUAGAGGGGGGUAGAAUUCCAGGUGUAGCGGUGAAAUGCGUAGAGAUCUGGAGGAAUACCGGUGGCGAAGGCGGCCCCCUGGACAAAGACUGACGCUCAGGUGCGAAAGCGUGGGGAGCAAACAGGAUUAGAAACCCUUGUAGUCCCAUGAU
rnacentral:rRNA from 1 species